UACGAAGGGUGCAAGCGUUAAUCGGAAUUACUGGGCGUAAAGCGUGCGUAGGCGGUUUCUUAAGUCUGCUGUGAAAUCCCCGGGCUCAACCUGGGAAUGGCAGUGGAUACUGGGAAGCUAGAGUGUGUCAGAGGAUGGUGGAAUUCCCGGUGUAGCGGUGAAAUGCGUAGAGAUCGGGAGGAACAUCAGUGGCGAAGGCGGCCAUCUGGGACAACACUGACGCUGAGGCACGAAAGCGUGGGGAGCAAACAGG
rnacentral:rRNA from 1 species